UACGAAGGGGGCUAGCGUUGUUCGGAUUUACUGGGCGUAAAGCGCACGUAGGCGGAUUGGUCAGUUAGAGGUGAAAGCCUGGAGCUCAGCUCCAGAACUGCCUUUAAUACUGCCAGUCUCGAGUCCGGAAGAGGUAAGUGGAACUCCUAGUGUAGAGGUGGAAUUCGUAGAUAUUAGGAAGAACACCAGUGGCGAAGGCGGCUUACUGGUCCGGUACUGACGCUGAGGUGCGAAAGCGUGGGGAGCAAACAGG
rnacentral:rRNA from 1 species